CCUACGGGUGGCUGCAGUGAGGCAUAUUGGUCAAUGGGGGAAACCCUGAUGCAGCGACGCCGCGUGAGUGAAGAAGUAUUUCGGUAUGUAAAGCUCUAUCAGCAGGGAAGAAAAAAGACGGUACCUGACUAAGAAGCCCCGGCUAACUACGUGCCAGCAGCCGCGGUAAUACGUAGGGGGCAAGCGUUAUCCGGAUUUACUGGGUGUAAAGGGAGCGUAGACGGCAAUACAAGUCGGAAGUGAAAUACCCGGGCUCAACCUGGGAACUGCUUUGGAAACUGUAUGGCUGGAGUGCUGGAGAGGUAAGCGGAAUUCCUAGUGUAGCGGUGAAAUGCAUAGAUAUCACGCAGAACUCCGAUUGCGAAGGCAGCAUACCGGCGCUCAACUGACGCUGAGGCACGAAAGCGUGGGGAUCGAACAGGAUUAGAUACCCCUGUAGUC
rnacentral:rRNA from 1 species